GGGAAAGAUGAAAAAAGGCCAACCAAGCACAAAACAGCAAGGACACACCCCUAUACCUUCUGCAUAAUGAAUUAACUAGAGACAACUUCGCAAAGAGAACUGGAGCCAAAUUCCCCGAAACCAGAUGAGCUACCCAAAAACAGCUAAAAGAGCACACCCAUCUAUGUAGCAAAAUAGUGGGAAGAUUAAUGGGUAGAGGUGACAAGCCUACUGAGCCUGGUGAUAGCUGGUUAUCCAAGAUAGAAUCUUAGUUCAACCUUAAGUUUACCUACAGAAUCACCUAAUCCCGUUGUAAACCUAAUUGUUAGUCUAAAGAGGGACAGCUCUUUAAACACUAGGAAAAAACCUUGUGUAGAGAGUAAAAAAUCCAAUCUCCAUAGUUGGCCCAAAAGCAGCCAUCAAUUAAGAAAGCAUUCAAGCUCAACAUCAAACACCUAAAAAAUCCCAAACAUUCUACUGAACUCCUCAUAUCACAUUGGAUUAAUCUAUUAUUUUAUAGAAGCAAUAAUGCUAGUAUAAGUAAUAUGAACAGCUUUCUCCACUGCAUUAGCCUACAUCAGACUGAAAAACUUCACCGAUACGUAACAGUCUAAUAUUAACAAACACAAACAAAACCAAUGUUACCCAUACUGUUAACCCAACACAGGCAUGCUUCUAAGGAAAGGUUAAAAAAAGUAAAAGGAACUCAACAAACUUAACCCCGCCUGUUUACCAAAAACAUCACCACUAGCAUUACCAGUAUUAGAGGCACCGCCUGCCCAUUGACACAUGUUUAACGACCGCGGUACCCUGACUGUGCAAAGGUAGCAUAAUCACUUGUUCCUUAAAUAGGGACUUGCAUGAAUGGCAUCAUGAGGGUUCAACUGUCUCUUACUUUUAACCAGUGAAAUUGACCUGCCCGUGAAGAGGUGGACAUAAAAUAAUAAGACGAGAAGACCCUAUGGAGCUUUAAUUUACUAAUGCAAUCAAAACCAUACAAAUCUGCAGAUUUUAAAUUACUGCACCUGCAUUAGAAAUUUUGGUUGUGGUGACCUCGGAGUAUAACUCAACCUCUGAACAACCUAUGCUAAGGCUACACCAGCCAAGCGAAUCAGUAUGAACAAUUGACCCAAUAACUUGACCAACAGAACAAGUUAUCCUAGGGAUAACAGCGCAAUCCUAUUCUAGCGUCCAUAUCAACAAUAGGGUUUACGACCUCGAUGUUGGAUCAGGACAUCCUGAUGGUGUAGCAGCUAUCAAGGGUUCGUUUGUUCAACGAUUAAAGUCCUACGUGAUUUGAGUUCAGACCGGUGCAAUCCAGGUUGGUUUCUAUCUAUUCUAUAUUUCUCCCUG
rnacentral:rRNA from 1 species